rnacentral:miRNA from 1 species
UAGCAGCACUACAUGGUUUGUA